rnacentral:rRNA from 1 species
AUGGCGGGCGUGCAGACCAUGGCUCGCUAUGGAAGGCCCUUCCCUUCCCUCUCUCUGUUCGGGCCAUGCUCAGGCAGUCUUUUCUCUUCUCUUCCCGCAAAAAAAGUCUUUUCUCUUCAUGAUCUGAACAUGUUGGAGGCCAUUAUUUCUCCACUGCCGGAGUCUAGCCUCCCUCCGUGGGAUGCCAUGGAGAUGAAACUCCCCUCGACGAAAGAAUUCAAGGGCAUGUGGGAGAGAGAGGAGGUCCAUGGAGAAGAAGCUCUGCUCCAACCCUCCCUGCCUCCUAAUACAAGAUGUCUUUUUUUGUGUGUGCUUGUAUUGCAGCAGCCAUGUGCGUAUCAAAAAAAGGGUCCAGUUUGCAGCAGUCACAUGAUAUGGACAUGUUUUUUCAUCACAAUUGGAUUUUUGGAUUUACUAGGCUAA